UACGUAGGGCGCAAGCGUUAUCCGGAAUUAUUGGGCGUAAAGAGCUCGUAGGCGGUUUGUCGCGUCUGCCGUGAAAGUCCGGGGCUCAACCCCGGAUCUGCGGUGGGUACGGGCAGACUAGAGUGCGGUAGGGGAGAUUGGAAUUCCUGGUGUAGCGGUGGAAUGCGCAGAUAUCAGGAGGAACACCAAUGGCGAAGGCAGAUCUCUGGGCCGUAACUGACGCUGAGGAGCGAAAGCAUGGGGAGCGAACAGG
rnacentral:rRNA from 1 species